rnacentral:rRNA from 1 species
AGUGAACGCUGGCGGUAGGCCUAACACAUGCAAGUCGAACGGCAGCACAGGAGAGCUUGCUCUCUGGGUGGCGAGUGGCGGACGGGUGAGGAAUACAUCGGAAUCUACUCUGUCGUGGGGGAUAACGUAGGGAAACUUACGCUAAUACCGCAUACGACCUACGGGUGAAAGCAGGGGACCUUCGGGCCUUGCGCGAUUGAAUGAGCCGAUGUCGGAUUAGCUAGUUGGCGGGGUAAAGGCCCACCAAGGCGACGAUCCGUAGCUGGUCUGAGGGGAUGAUCAGCCACACUGGAACUGAGACACGGUCCAGACUCCUACGGGAGGCAGCAGUGGGGAAUAUUGGACAAUGGGCGCAAGCCUGAUCCAGCCAUACCGCGUGGGUGAAGAAGGCCUUCGGGUUGUAAAGCCCUUUUGUUGGGAAAGAAAUCCAGCUGGCUAAUACCCGGUUGGGAUGACGGUACCCAAAGGAUAAGCACCGGCUAACUUCGUGCCAGCCGCCACAGUAA